rnacentral:rRNA from 1 species
GGAGCUUGCUCCACCGGAAAAAGAAGAGUGGCGAACGGGUGAGUAACACGUGGGUAACCUGCCCAUCAGAAGGGGAUAACACUUGGAAACAGGUGCUAAUACCGUAUAACAAUCGAAACCGCAUGGUUUUGAUUUGAAAGGCGCUUUCGGGUGUCGCUGAUGGAUGGACCCGCGGUGCAUUAGCUAGUUGGUGAGGUAACGGCUCACCAAGGCCACGAUGCAUAGCCGACCUGAGAGGGUGAUCGGCCACAUUGGGACUGAGACACGGCCCAAACUCCUACGGGAGGCAGCAGUAGGGAAUCUUCGGCAAUGGACGAAAGUCUGACCGAGCAACGCCGCGUGAGUGAAGAAGGUUUUCGGAUCGUAAAACUCUGUUGUUAGAGAAGAACAAGGAUGAGAGUAACUGUUCAUCCCUUGACGGUAUCUAACCAGAAAGCCACGGCUAACUACGUGCCAGCAGCCGCGGUAAUACGUAGGUGGCAAGCGUUGUCCGGAUUUAUUGGGCGUAAAGCGAGCGCAGGCGGUUUCUUAAGUCUGAUGUGAAAGCCCCCGGCUCAACCGGGGAGGGUCAUUGGAAACUGGGAGACUUGAGUGCAGAAGAGGAGAGUGGAAUUCCAUGUGUAGCGGUGAAAUGCGUAGAUAUAUGGAGGAACACCAGUGGCGAAGGCGGCUCUCUGGUCUGUAACUGACGCUGAGGCUCGAAAGCGUGGGGAGCAAACAGGAUUAGAUACCCUGGUAGUCCACGCCGUAAACGAUGAGUGCUAAGUGUUGGAGGGUUUCCGCCCUUCAGUGCUGCAGCUAACGCAUUAAGCACUCCGCCUGGGGAGUACGACCGCAAGGUUGAAACUCAAAGGAAUUGACGGGGGCCCGCACAAGCGGUGGAGCAUGUGGUUUAAUUCGAAGCAACGCGAAGAACCUUACCAGGUCUUGACAUCCUUUGACCACUCUAGAGAUAGAGCUUCCCCUUCGGGGGCAAAGUGACAGGUGGUGCAUGGUUGUCGUCAGCUCGUGUCGUGAGAUGUUGGGUUAAGUCCCGCAACGAGCGCAACCCUUAUUGUUAGUUGCCAUCAUUUAGUUGGGCACUCUAGCAAGACUGCCGGUGACAAACCGGAGGAAGGUGGGGAUGACGUCAAAUCAUCAUGCCCCUUAUGACCUGGGCUACACACGUGCUACAAUGGGAAGUACAACGAGUCGCGAAGUCGCGAGGCUAAGCUAAUCUCUUAAAGCUUCUCUCAGUUCGGAUUGUAGGCUGCAACUCGCCUACAUGAAGCCGGAAUCGCUAGUAAUCGCGGAUCAGCACGCCGCGGUGAAUACGUUCCCGGGCCUUGUACACACCGCCCGUCACACCACGAGAGUUUGUAACACCCGAAGUCGGUGA